AAAAUCAGUAGCAUUGUUACUAGCAUUUUCAAUAGUAGAUAGAAUAAAUUCAGGAGUAGCAUAUUGAUUACCGGCAUGCAUCGGUGAAUCCAGUUCAUACAAACUAGUGUCUAAACGUUGGAUACCAGUAGCCAAAACAGAAUCCACUAUGUCAUCAAGCUUCUCCAGCUGCGAUUUCAAAAGCUCGUCAAUUUGAGUAUCCAUCGCUUGAUCAAUGUCAUUACGAUCCAAUUGUAAUUUGCUAAGCUGUAACAGAGACUCGUCGACAGCUGCUUUUUGAAUCUCCAGCUCUUCUUCCUUUUCCUGCAAAAGUUGGCGGUACCGAUUUUCAGUAGACUUCAAUUCAACACCUAAGUUGGCUAGCUCACGAUCCUUUGAAUGAAGAGCAUCUU